rnacentral:sRNA from 1 species
GUUAUUACGGGACAAAAUCACACAUAUGCCGGCACAGCUAUCGGGGUGCUGCCUGAUUAAAUUCGGGGGGUCGAUGGUUGGGGUGUAUGGAGGAUUAAC